rnacentral:rRNA from 1 species
UACAGAGGGGGCAAGCGUUGUUCGGAAUUACUGGGCGUAAAGGGCGCGUAGGCGGCCGCCUAAGUCAGACGUGAAAUCCCUCGGCUCAACCGGGGAACUGCGUCUGAUACUGGGUGGCUUGAAUCCGGGAGAGGGAUGCGGAAUUCCAGGUGUAGCGGUGAAAUGCGUAGAUAUCUGAAGGAACAUCAGUGGCGAAAGCGACUUCCUGGACCAAUACUGACGCUCAUGUGCGAAAGCGUGGGGAGCAAACAGG